rnacentral:rRNA from 1 species
UACGGAGGGAGCUAGCGUUAUUCGGAAUUACUGGGCGUAAAGCGCACGUAGGCGGCUUUGUAAGUUAGAGGUGAAAGCCUGGAGCUCAACUCCAGAACUGCCUUUAAGACUGCAUCGCUUGAAUCCUGGAGAGGUGAGUGGAAUUCCGAGUGUAGAGGUGAAAUUCGUAGAUAUCGGGAGGAACACCAGUGGCGAAGGCGGCGAUCUGGGCAGAUACUGACGCUGAGGUGCGAAAGCGUGGGGAGCAAACAGG